rnacentral:rRNA from 2 species
AACAUGCGGAAGGAUCAUUA